rnacentral:rRNA from 1 species
UACAGAGGUCCCAAGCGUUGUUCGGAUUCACUGGGCGUAAAGGGUGCGUAGGUGGCUUGGUAAGUUUGAUGUGAAAGCUCAGGGCUCAACCCUGAAAUGGCAUUGAAUACUACUGAGCUGGAGGUUUGGAGGGGGACUGGAAUUCUCGGUGUAGCAGUGAAAUGCGUAGAUAUCGAGAGGAACACCAGUGGCGAAGGCGAGUCCCUGGACAACACCUGACACUGAGGCACGAAAGCUAGGGGAGCAAACAGG